rnacentral:rRNA from 1 species
AAACCAGCACCUCAAGUGGUCAAGAGGAUUAUUGGGCCUAAAGCAUCCGUAGCCUGCUUUGUAAGUUUUCGGUUAAAUCCAUAUGCUCAACAUAUGGGCUGUCGGGAAUACUGCAUAGCUAGGGAGUGGGAGAGGUAGACGGUACUCGGGAGGAAGUGGUAAAAUGCUUUGAUCUCUCGAUGACCACCUGUGGCGAAGGCGGUCUACCAGAACACGUCCGACGGUGAGGGAUGAAAGCUGGGGGAGCAAACCGGAGUAGAAACCCCAGUAGUCC